GGCCACCGGCUUGCGGCUGCCUCUCGGUUAUACCCUUGUCCGGUGGUCCUCCUCGCGGGGACGCCGUGGGCCUUUGCUGACGUUUACUUUGAAAAAAUUAGAGUGUUUAAAGCAGGCUAACGCUUGAAUACAUUAGCAUGGAAUAAUGAAAUAGGACGUUUGAUCCUAUUUUGUUGGUUUCUAGGAUUGACGUA
rnacentral:rRNA from 1 species